rnacentral:sRNA from 2 species
AAACGUUGCAAGUUCCCGAAAGGAUUCGCAUAUAAACUUAUGAAAAGCGAAGAUGCCUUGUAACCGAUACUUAAACUAGGGGGAAUUAUUUUG